rnacentral:rRNA from 1 species
CCUACGGGUGGCAGCAGUGGGGAAUAUUGGACAAUGGGGGGAACCCUGAUCCAGCCAUGCCGCGUGUGUGAAGAAGGCCCUCGGGUUGUAAAGCACUUUCAGUGAGGAAGAACGCCUGGUGGUUAAUACCCAUCAGGAAAGACAUCACUCACAGAAGAAGCACCGGCUAACUCCGUGCCAGCAGCCGCGGUAAUACGGAGGGUGCGAGCGUUAAUCGGAAUUACUGGGCGUAAAGCGCGCGUAGGUGGCUUGAUAAGCCGGUUGUGAAAGCCCCGGGCUCAACCUGGGAACGGCAUCCGGAACUGUCAAGCUAGAGUGUAGGAGAGGAAGGUAGAAUUCCCGGUGUAGCGGUGAAAUGCGUAGAGAUCGGGAGGAAUACCAGUGGCGAAGGCGGCCUUCUGGACUGACACUGACACUGAGGUGCGAAAGCGUGGGUAGCAAACAGGAUUAGAUACCCCGGUAGUC